GGUGGUUCUCGGGUGACACACCCCAGAAUCGGGCUCCCUCCUCUCUGGUUCAAGAUGCAUCACCCAAGAACCUCC
rfam:Myotis brandtii contig298509, whole genome shotgun sequence.